GCCUAGUUAGCUUAGUUGGUAGUGCGUCUGCCUUGUGAGCGCUAGGCCGUGGGUUCGAUUCCCGCCCGGGGCG
rfam:Asian citrus Psyllid, Diaphorina citri - Florida Strain, whole genome shotgun sequence.